AGCAGCCGCGGUAAUUCCAGCUCCAAUAGCGUAUAUUAAAGUUGUUGCAGUUAAAAAGCUCGUAGUUGAAUUUCGGGACCAAUAUGUCGGUCGUGCUUCGGUACGUACUUGCAUUAUUGGUUUCUCCCUUCUGAGGAACCAUGAUGUCAUUAAUUUGGUGUCGUGGGAAAUCAGGACUGUUACUUUGAAAAAAUUAAGAGUGUUUAAAGACAGGCUCGCGCUUGAAUACAUUAGCAUGGAAUAAUGAAAUAGGACGUUUGAUUCUAUUUUGUUGGUUUUCUAGGAUCGACGUAAUGAUUAAUAGGGAUAGUUGGGGGCAUUAGUAUUCAAUUGUCAGAGGUGAAAUUCUUGGAUUUAUUGAAGACUAACUACUGCGAAAGCAUUUGCCAAGGAUGUUUUCAUUAAUCAAGAACGAAAGUUAGGGGAUCGAAGACGAUCAGAUACCGUCGUAGUCUUAACCAUAAACUAUGCCGACUAGGGAUCGGAUGAUGUUAUUUUUGAUGA
rnacentral:rRNA from 1 species